rnacentral:lncRNA from 1 species
AUGCGUUAUUGCUGGAUAUGGUUAUCUUUGUUCAGCUCAAGAGCGGAGGGCUGGAAUGAGAGUCUGCAGAAAACCUCCUCCUACGUUGCGCUGAGGCUCGAUCAAUUAUACCUUUCCCCUUUUCUCAACUGUUUGCUUAACCUUUCUGUGGAUGUCUCCAGUGAAAGAUUCAGCAACUUCUCUGAUAUCUGUUCCAGUGAGAACGUUGUUGGGCAAUCCUGCACUGCCCAGAGGGGGCUGUAA